CCAGACUCCUACGGGAGGCAGCAGUGAGGAAUAUUGGUCAAUGGGCGGGAGCCCGAACCAGCCAAGUCGCGUGAGGGAAGACGGUCCUACGGAUUGUAAACCUCUUUUGCCGGGGAGCAACGGGGUCCUUGCGAGGGCCCGAUGAGAGUACCCGAAGAAAAAGCAUCGGCUAACUCCGUGCCAGCAGCCGCGGUAAUACGGAGGAUGCGAGCGUUAUCCGGAUUUAUUGGGUUUAAAGGGUGCGCAGGCGGAGGUGCAAGUCAGCGGUCAAAUUGCGGGGCUCAACCCCGUACUGCCGUUGAAACUGGCGGGCUGGAGUUGGAGAGAAGUACGCGGAAUGCGCGGUGUAGCGGUGAAAUGCUUAGAUAUCGCGCAGAACCCCGAUUGCGAAGGCAGCGUACCGGCUCCACACUGACGCUGAGGCACGAAAGCGUGGGUAUCGAACAGGAUUAGAUACCCGGGUA
rnacentral:rRNA from 1 species